UACGAAGGGGGCUAGCGUUGCUCGGAAUCACUGGGCGUAAAGGGUGCGUAGGCGGGUCUUAAGUCAGGGGUGAAAUCCUGGAGCUCAACUCCAGAACUGCCUUUGAUACUGAGGAUCUUGAGUUCGGGAGAGGUGAGUGGAACUGCGAAUGUAGAGGUGAAAUUCGUAGAUAUUCGCAAGAACACCAGUGGCGAAGGCGGCUCACUGGCCCGAUACUGACGCUGAGGCACGAAAGCGUGGGGAGCAAACAGGG
rnacentral:rRNA from 1 species